GGCCAGGUAGCUCAGUUGGUAGAGCGUCCGCCUGAAAAGCGGAAGGUCGCCGGUUCGACCCCGGCCCUGGCCACCU
rnacentral:tRNA from 2 species